rnacentral:rRNA from 1 species
CCUACGGGAGGCAGCAGUGAGGAAUAUUGGUCAAUGGUCGGGAGACUGAACCAGCCAAGCCGCGUGAGGGAUGCAGGUACAGAGUAUCGUAAACCUCUUUUGUCAGGGAACAAAGGCGGGGACGUGUCCCCGGAUGAGUGUACCUGAAGAAAAAGCAUCGGCUAACUCCGUGCCAGCCGCCGCGGUAAUACGGAGUAUGCGAGCGUUAUCCGGAUUUGUUGGGUUUAACGGGUGGGCAGGCGGUCGUGUAAGUCAGCGGUCAAACCCCGGGGCUCACCCCCGGCCCGCGGUUGAAACUGGCAGUCUCGAGUUGGAGAGAAGUAUGCGGAAUGCGCGGUGUAGCGGUGAAAUGCAUAGAUAUCGCGCAGAACUCCGAUUGCGAAGGCAGCAUGCCGGCUCCACACUGACGCUGAGGCACGAAAGCGUGGGUAUCGAACAGGAUUAGAUACCCGGGUAGUC